rnacentral:pre_miRNA from 1 species
AAUUUCAGCUGAAAAAGUCAUGAACAUAAAAGUUGUAAGUUGUAGAACACAUCAAGACAUACAACUUUUAUUUUAAUCAUUUCUUCAUCCGACAAAGUUAUAGUAAAAUUGUUCACAAAAUUUGUGUAUCUCUCUUAUAGUUUAUAAAACCAUAUGAGAGAAAUGUAAAUUUUGUGAACAAUGUUACUAUCACUUCAUCGGAUAAAGAAAUGAUCAAAAUAAAAGUUAUAGAUCUUGAUGAGUUAUACAGCUUUAUUGUUGAUGACUUUUUCAGUUGAAAUC